rnacentral:lncRNA from 1 species
AAACUCUGAUACUAUAAUCUCGUUUUCGAUUUUAAGGUGUUCAAAUCAACGAUCUACACCGUUAAAUAUGAUCUAAGAUAUAUGAAGGUUUUACGAAUAAAAUUUUAAUUUAUUUCGAUAAUGUUUACUUAGUAAAUAAACUGUGCCAAAAUGAAUCGUGAAAAUUAAACAAUCUUUAAAAUUUGAGGAUAGAACUUUUGAAUUUAAGAUCAAAGAUGCUAAUCUUGAUCUAGAUAGUUUAAAGUAUUUUUUAUCAAAAUUUGAAUAAGUUCAGUUCAGAUUCUUCUACACAGUUAAACGACAAAUUCCUCAUAGUAGCUAUUGAAAAUUGAUAAUUUUGAAAUAAUUUGACCAUAAAGUAAACUAUAUCGAAAAAAUAUAAAAUUUUAUUUUUAAAAAUUUUGAAUACCCUAGAUCAGUUUUAAUGAUGUGGAUAGUUGAUUUGAACAUCCUAAAAUUAAAAACGAGAUUAUAGUACUGGAGCCCCAUAGUAGCUCAUGUUUGGCUCCUUUA